ACCCCCCCGAAUUGUAGUCUAGAAAGGCGCCAUCGGCCGCGUCCGCCGCUCAAAUCCCUUGGAACGGGGUAUCGGAGAAGGUGAGAAUCCUGUGCCGUGGCGGUUCGCGGUCGCACGAUGCGUCCUUGCCGAGUCGGGUUGCUUGGGAUUGCAGCUUGAAGUGGGUGGUAAAUUCCAUCUAAAGCUAAAUACUGGCGAGAGACCGAUAGCGAACAAGUACCGUGAGGGAAAGAUGCAAAGAACUUUGAAAAGAGAGUUAAAGAGUGCUUGAAAUCGGCGAGAGGAAACCCGUUUGCGCCCGGUAUCGCGCCGUCGACUCAGCCGGUCCUCGGAUCGGUGCACUUUGUCGGCGCGGGUCAUCCUGGGCUGCGUGGGCGGGAGAUGCCCGGUGGGAGGGCUUCGGCGAUCCACCGGGAGCGCCGCGCGUGCGGCUCCGGCUGACGGAACGGGCGCAACCGACCCGUCUAGAAACACGGACCAAGGAGUCUGACACGUGUGCGAGUACCCGGGUGGCAAGCCCGCGUGCGCAAUGAAAGUGAAGGGCGUACUCCGCCAACCGACCUUGAUCUUCUGUGAAGGGUUUGAGUGUAGCACAUCUGUCGGGACCCGAAAGAUGGUGAACUAUGCCUGAGGAGGGUGAAGCCAGAGGAAACUCUGGUGGAGGCUCGUAGCGAUACUGACGUGCAAAUCGUUCGUCGAACUUGGGUAUAGGGGCGAAAGACUAAUCGAACCAUCUAGUAGCUGGUUCCCUCCGAAGUUUCCCUCAGGAUAGCUUGAACGCCGACGGUUUUGU
rnacentral:rRNA from 1 species